GACCUGUGGCUGGGGGUGAAAGGCCAAUCAAACCGGGAGAUAGCUGGUUCUCCCCGAAAGCUAUUUAGGUAGCGCCUCGUGAAUUCAUCUCCGGGGGUAGAGCACUGUUUCGGCUAGGGGGCCAUCCCGGCUUACCAACCCGAUGCAAACUGCGAAUACCGGAGAAUGUUAUCACGGGAGACACACGGCGGGUGCUAACGUCCGUCGUGAAGAGGGAAACAACCCAGACCGCCAGCUAAGGUCCCAAAGUCAUGGUUAAGUGGGAAACGAUGUGGGAAGGCCCAGACAGCCAGGAUGUUGGCUUAGAAGCAGCCAUCAUUUAAAGAAAGCGUAAUAGCUCACUGGUCGAGUCGGCCUGCGCGGAAGAUGUAACGGGGCUAAACCAUGCACCGAAGCUGCGGCAGCGACGCUGAUGCGUUGUUGGGUAGGGGAGCGUUCUGUAAGCCUGUGAAGGUGGCCUGUGAGGGUUGCUGGAGGUAUCAGAAGUGCGAAUGCUGACAUAAGUAACGAUAAAGCGGGUGAAAAUCCCGCUCGCCGGAAGACCAAGGGUUCCUGUCCAACGUUAAUCGGGGCAGGGUGAGUCGACCCCUAAGGCGAGGCCGAAAGGCGUAGUCGAUGGGAAACGGGUUAAUAUUCCCGUACUUGGUGUUACUGCGAAGGGGGGACGGAGAAGGCUAUGUUGGCCGGGCGACGGUUGUCCCGGUUUAAGCGUGUAGGCUGGUUUUCCAGGCAAAUCCGGAAAAUCAAGGCUGAGGCGUGACGACGAGGCACUACGGUGCUGAAGCAACAAAUGCCCUGCUUCCAGGAAAAGCCUCUAAGCAUCAGGUAACAUCAAAUCGUACCCCAAACCGACA
rnacentral:rRNA from 1 species